rnacentral:rRNA from 1 species
GACGAACGCUGGCGGCGUGCUUAACACAUGCAAGUCGAACGAAGUGGCGAACGGGUGAGUAACGCGUCAUCAACCUGCCCUUCAGAGUGGGACAACAGUUGGAAACGACUGCUAAUCCCGCAUACUGAAGGAUGGGAAUGCGUGUGAUUAGCUAGUUGGAGGGGUAACGGCCCACCAAGGCGAUGAUCAGUAGCCGGUUGGAGAGGAUGAACGGCCACAUUGGGACUGAGACACGGCCCAGACUCCUACGGGAGGCAGCAGUGGGGAAUCUUCCGCAAUGGACGAAAGUCUGACGGAGCAACGCCGCGUGAGUGAUGACGGCCUUCGGGUUGUAAAGCUCUGUUAAUCGGGACGCGGUACCGGAAUAGAAAGCCACGGCUAACUACGUGCCAGCAGCCGCGGUAAUAC